rnacentral:misc_RNA from 1 species
AACAAGAUCAACUCUAGUUGAGAGUUGGGAGUGGCCUUAUGCGUCGCGUAAGCGUGUAUUUGGCUUGAAUAGAUCGAGUUGAUGAGCUUCCCAGCGCGGCUCAAUGUGUGCUAGCGAGACAGUCGUCCCGACCUCACAUUACCGCUGCGUUGCAGAGUUCUGACCACAGCUCGCUAAACCCACAAAUCAA